UUAGUGCUAUAAUGAAAAGAAUAUAGAUAGGGGAGAUCCAAUCCGGUUUCAGCUAGUUUCUGUUCCGAUAGAACAUUAAUGCUUGCUUCAGUGUUUCCUAGACCCGGUUCUUACACUUUACUUAUCAGCGCGUAAGCUGCUUUAAUUGAUUUCUUUUUUUUUCUGAAAGCACACAAGCUUUACGCAACCAUGCCUAAAAGGAGCAAAGCUAACAAUGGCACCGAAGCAGCUGAGCCCAAGAGGCGGUUCCGAGAGACUUCAGGGUAAACCCCAAACAACAAAGUCUGAGCCCAAGCCAAAAGUGAAGAAGGCACCUGCAAAGGGCAAGAAGGCCAAGGAGGUAGAAAAGGCCAAACCAGAGGAGAAGAAAGUGGAUGCAAAGCCAGAGACUGAGGAGAAAAACUCCCGCGGAGAACGGAGAGACCAAAGAUGAGGUGGACAAUGAUGAAGCAGGAGGCGGACGGGGGGAGAGGCCGA